rnacentral:rRNA from 1 species
GGGGAAUAUUGCACAAUGGAGGAAACUCUGAUCCAGCAAUGCCGCGUGUGUGAAGAAGGCCUUAGGGUUGUAAAGCACUUUCAAUAGGGAGGAAAAGUAUAAGUUUAAUAC